rnacentral:tRNA from 1 species
GAGGGUAUAGCUCAAGUGGUAGAGCGCAUGCUUAGCAUCACGAGGUCCUGGGUUCAAUCCCCAGUACCUCCU